rnacentral:tRNA from 8 species
GGAGGGAUGGCCGAGCGGCUGAAGGCGGCGGUCUUGAAAACCGCUGGGCGGCGACGCCCCGCAGGUUCGAAUCCUGCUCCCUCCGCCA